GAAUAUACAUUAAAAUAAGUGCCUAGACAGAAGGAGCAGGAGACAAAAGGAGUUAUUCCCCAGACAAGCAGUCUACGGAAGCAAAAAGGAUCAGCUAAUCUCUGCUGGGUCACUUCAGUUCAGUUCUGGUCACAAGCAGCAUUUUGUGCAGCUCCAGGAUCCACGAUGGGGACAUCCGGACCUGGGCACCAAACACACACUUGUCAAUCACCUGUUUCCUUUUUGAUUCUUGACGUAUACACACUUCAGAGACAUCCUUAGAGAAAUAAAUUUAUGGCACCUGAAUGUUUCUCUGAUAAACGACAGCCAUGGCAGGAAAGCAAUACUCCAAGCAACCUUUUGUACUCUCCCAAAGAGCAUCAUUAUAGACCUGACUGUUCCAGAGGAAUGACUGAGCAACAGGAUGUAUUCUCACAUUCCAGAAUUAUGGAAUUUAUUCACUAGGCCCAAUGGAUAAUUCACUUCUAUUCAGAGCUAGUCCCCCAAACACCACUACCAGCACCAACAACCGUGUCUCAUGGAAAGGCUGCAGGGCAGGUCCCCUGCUGAAGCUGAGGAGGAAUCUGCAUAGCUCUGCCAAGGAGAGCUCUUCCUGAGAUAUUUGAUCUAGACCACAAGGAAAACCUUGCAAAGAGAAUAGCAGUGCACCCCCAACAGAGAAAGCUACACCUGGGCUAUGUGAAAAACACAGCCAAAAUCCUUUCCGACCUUGGAGAGGAUCUUACAGGUCAUGGAUUCACGUAAACAAUACUGUUACUAAGCAAAUGAAGACUUCUUCUGAGCACUUCUCUGAGGAAGUUACAAACAAAACUAAUUUAUUUGGUCUGGUCCUCAUUUAAAGGCCAUUCUUUUGACAUGUUCAAGGGUGAUCCCUGAACUGCACUCCAAAGGAAAGACAGGGAAUUGUAGAUGUGCCCAAGCUAUCCAGGUCAAGGCCCUGGUUCAAGCUACCUAGAUCAAAUACCUACAGAAUGUUGCAAGGGGAUGCAAAGCAAAACUGAAUCAAGGAAUAGAGUUUUCACAAAAGAGUAUAAAGGAACUUGAACAUCAAGAAUGAACUGUUCUUUAAGCAAAGUGGGCUCCUCCAAAAAUAUACUGAGCUCAUGGAGUGUUCUGAACUCCUCUGUGUUCAAUGACAUCUGCCAGAGGCUUCAUGUGCUACUAGAUCAUUUCAUGCAAAGAGUUAAAACACCCCAUUAAUCCAUUUCACAGCCUAAGGAGUUAUGAGAAAACGAGUUACCUUUUCU